AUCUGAAAAAGGCAAAGCCACUGAAAGGUGGCGGCGCAAAAUCACCGGUCUAAGGGGCUUCAGCCCUAUGACGGCGGGAUCGCCAGA
rnacentral:ncRNA from 1 species